rnacentral:lncRNA from 1 species
GGGUAGGAUUAGGUUUGGCAUUAGGGUUAGGAUUAAGGUUGUAAAGAAGGUUAUGGAGAAGGAGAGGAUAGAAAAAAAGGAAAAUAAAAAGAGGAAAUAGAUUGGAGGAUUGGAUCAGGAAAACAAAAAGGUGAAGCUAAAAAACUUAUCUGGAACUAGUCGUUUUGUGGAAGAGAAAGGAGUAGAGAGAGAAACACGAUAGUGUCGGUUCAUACAUCAGUGAAGUCUUUGUUAUUGAGGUCUCUUAAGAUCCAAACAUCGGUAUGAUGCAAGACAUCGGUAGUGAAGGGGAUCAGAAAGAAGCAUCAAACCGGCUUGGCCCAAGAUAUCGGCAUGCGAAGGGGACGCCCGAACAAGCAUAAGGGGAAGGAGAUCUAGGAAGAGGCAAUUGACCAAGGGAAGAUGCAGGGGGAAGGGGGGAAGGAAAUGGGAUCAAGAGAGAAGCAGAUGACUUGGGGUAAGUGGGAAGGAGAAGAGGAGGAAGGGGAUAGGGAAAGAGAUGGU